rnacentral:rRNA from 1 species
UACGUAGGGCGCAAGCGUUGUCCGGAAUUAUUGGGCGUAAAGAGCUCGUAGGCGGCUUGUCACGUCGGGUGUGAAAGCCCGGGGCUUAACCCCGGGUCUGCAUUCGAUACGGGCUAGCUAGAGUGUGGUAGGGGAGAUCGGAAUUCCUGGUGUAGCGGUGAAAUGCGCAGAUAUCAGGAGGAACACCGGUGGCGAAGGCGGGACUCUGGGCCGAUACUGACGCUGAGGAGCGAAAGCGUGGGGAGCGAACAGG